CAGUCGCCGCGGGAACACGUAGGUGGCAAGCGUUGUCCGGAAUUAUUGGGCGUAAAGGGCUCGCAGGUGGUUUCUUAAGUCUGAUGUGAAAGCCCCCGGCUCAACCGGGGAGGGUCAUUGGAAACUGGGAAACUUGAGUGCGGAAGAGGAGAGUGGAAUUCCACGUGUAGCCGUGAAAUGCGUAGAGAUGUGGAGGAACACCAGUGGCGAAGGCGACUCUCUGGUCUGUAACUGACGCUGAGGAGCGAAAGCGUGGGGAGCGAACAGGAUUAGAUACCCCUGUAGUCCCUGUCUCUUAUAC
rnacentral:rRNA from 1 species